rnacentral:pre_miRNA from 1 species
UUUUAUGGAUGAGCAAAGAAAGUGAUAUCUUGAGAUGGAGUCCACUGUUGGUGAAGAUGCUGUGAA